AAUAUGCUAAUAUUUAGUUUCGACCUAAUUAAUAAAUUAAUUCAUAUUAAUUUCAUAUUU
rnacentral:tRNA from 1 species